rnacentral:misc_RNA from 1 species
AAGUCGUAACAAGGUUUCCGUAGGUGAACCUGCGGAAGGAUCAUUAGUGAAUCUUGGUGGGGGGAUUGUUGAUACUUGGUAUAUAGAAUGGGGUAUUGUACUGUAUUGUACUGUAUUGUACUGUAUUGUACUGUAUUGUACUGUAUUGUACUGUAUUGUACUGUAUUGUAUUCCUUAUAUAUAUGUCAAUCUCAUCCACCCAUCCAUAACAACAUUUGCCUUGGGCACUUUUGUCUAUUUAGUCUGACUGAUUGAUUUUAAUUAGUUUAAACAACUUUUAACAAUGGAUCUCUUGGCUCUC